rnacentral:rRNA from 1 species
GAUGAACGCUGGCGGCGUGCCUAAUACAUGCAAGUCGAGCGAAUGGAUUAAGAGCUUGCUCUUAUGAAGUUAGCGGCGGACGGGUGAGUAACACGUGGGUAACCUGCCCAUAAGACUGGGAUAACUCCGGGAAACCGGGGCUAAUACCGGAUAACAUUUUGAACCGCAUGGUUCGAAAUUGAAAGGCGGCUUCGGCUGUCACUUAUGGAUGGACCCGCGUCGCAUUAGCUAGUUGGUGAGGUAACGGCUCACCAAGGCAACGAUGCGUAGCCGACCUGGGAGGGUGAGCGGCCACACUGGGACUGAGACACGGCCCAGACUCCUACGGGAGGCAGCAGUAGGGAAUCUUCCGCAAUGGACGAAAGUCUGACGGAGCAACGCCGCGUGGGUGAUGAAGGCUUUCGGGUCGUAAAACUCUGUUGUUAGGGAAGAACAGGUGCUAGUUGAAUAAGCUGGCACCUUGACGGUACCUAACCAGAAAGCCACGGCUAACUACGUGCCAGCCGCCGCGGUAA